rnacentral:rRNA from 1 species
AUGGAAAUAAGACUUUAUCUCAGAAUAAUACCUUUUUCUCUUAUUUAUGCCAAAAUGGCACUGAAAUGUUAUGCAUUUCUAAAGGCUCGGAGAUCCUUUGCACUCGGACGCAAUCCUCGUCUUAUUGUUGGAUAUAUGCAGCAACUGCUGCAAGAAGAAGGAGAUGAUCAACAUGGUGAGGAGGAUGUGAAUGUGCCUCCACCACCACUUGUAGUUACGGGUGAGGACAAACGACAAGUAGAGAAGCAACCUCGACCUCAUGGUUACAUGUUCAGAAAUAACAUGAAGGCACAUCAAGAUGGCAACUUGGUGACCAUUGACAGAGUUUGGCAGUUGGACAACAUGUUUUUGAUGCCAAUGCCACAACGACUGAAAGAUAUAUGCUUGUCAUUUGCAUUAUUCAAAUUGCUAAGGUGUCGAUUUGCAAGGUACAAACUCGCCGACGUUAUCACUAAGGAUACCAUCAAAUUCGUCAAAAGCAUCUUGCUAGAGGAUGGUGAACAUGAAAGAGCGUUCAGGAUGAUUGCAGAUGAGCUUUAUUUUCUUCAUGAUUAUUAUGAUUCACCACUCCCAGUCCUCUACUCAGGUAGCUGGUUUACUACAACAUCAAGUAUGGUCAUCUCACUCUUGAGCAUAUGUUACUGCAUACUUUAUGUUCUGGACGUCAUCAAAGAAGCUAGGAUACCAUGGGAUUUUCCUUAG